GACUCACAUUUAAAGCAUGCACCUUCCCCCUUAUUCUCCAUUACAACUCAAUGGUAAGAGGUGGGAUUGCACUCUCCUGUCUGGUAGCAGCACCCCAAAGUUCCUCGCCCACACAUCAUCCUUCAGUGCUCCUCAUAUUUAGACUUGUGAAUAUUUCUCCAUGCAGCAUUACAGGGAAUCCACAAACCCCUUUAAAAUGAAGUCAAGGAUGAGGAACCCAUCAUCUGAGGUAAGAUAUGGAUUCUGUCAUAGGAGCAGACAUACUGCUACCAGAAAAACCUGGGAAAGAGCUGCAGUUCCCACUGUACUCCUGCCACAUCAGCACCCAGAGUCCAGAUGCUCCCUGCUUUCAGACCAUCUCCUUACCUUGCUUUAGGUUAAAGUCAGCAUACUAGACUAAAAUUGAUCAAGUCUUCUGCCAGUUUAUAAUAACAUGGCCCUUCUCUGUGAUACUGGGUGACAUGGAAGACAGAAGGGCAAUUUACUAAGACAGAUAGUACAGCAGUUGAUCUGCUGCAGCUGUUAAACUCCUAAGCCAGGAAGAGCCUCAGUGAGUUAUCAGCCCAUUGAACACUGUAGA
rnacentral:lncRNA from 1 species